rnacentral:piRNA from 1 species
UGCUUAGAUGUCAAUGUGCCUUAUUCAUG